GCAGGCAGGUUACACUGGUUCCCAUAUGAUCACCAAAGUUAAGCAACAUCAAGCCUGCUUAGUACCUAGAUGGGUGAGAACUUGGGAAUACCAAGUGCUGUAAG
rnacentral:rRNA from 1 species